UCUCCAUCCCUCCAUAACAGAUGGUCCGUUGCCAGUCGAAUCCUGAGAGAGCAGACAAAACAUUCACACAUUCUUCCUUUCACAGCACCGAUAGUUGUUCUUUUUUUUUUUAAGCUAUCAGAAUAAGGGGCAGUCAAAAGAGAAUGGAAACUUAACUUUCCUUUCAAAACUUCACCACUACAAAAGAGUUCUGUGGGCUGGUCCACAGAGACUUGGGAAAUUUUCACCAAACAACGGCAUAACGUCAAGGAAUGGGGCAUCAUUUGCUGCCUGGGCCAAGCUGGAGGUAACCAGAGUGUUCAGAAAUAGAGCAGAGAUAAAACUUCAUAAAUUCUAAUGACAAUCCAGGAAGUGCCUUAAGGAGAACCCGCUGUGACAGCUGUAAAGGUCAUACAACCACAGUUUGGCAGAGAUUUCCAAAGACUUCGAAGACUUCCAAAAUAGAUACAUGACUGAGUUCAGAUUUGUGCCAUCUGUAAUUCAAAAUUAAAAAAAAUGAGUGAUGGAUUUGGAAUUGGAAAACGUGGUUUCUUACCUUACCCUUGCUAUAUACUAUCAACAUCAUUUGGAGAUGGAUUCCUGUUCUUCACUAUCCCGAGAAGAAAAUCAAGGCCAGCUCCCUGGAAAUGAACAGUCUUCCCUUUGUGGGCCUCCACAAGGUUUAUAUGAAAUUUUACACAAUACAGAAAUAAUAGAGCAGUGUUUAGUGUUCCCUUCCUACAGCCGGAUUCUUCACAUUAGGAAUCAGACAGCAGGUUCCACCUUUCAGCAGAGAUGCCAAGGUUUUAUCUUGCAUACAAGAAUUCAGAACAGAAAGAGCUCCUAUUGAAAUACUUUUUUUUUCUUUUUGAAAAUACACCAUAAGCUAAAUUUACUGAAAUAAACAAUCUCUGCAAUUCAAA